AGAGUUUGAUCCUGGCUCAGAUUGAACGCUGGCGGCAGGCCUAACACAUGCAAGUCGAGCGGUAACACAGGGAGCUUGCUCCUGGGUGACGAGCGGCGGACGGGUGAGUAAUGUAUGGGGAUCUGCCUGAUGGAGGGGGAUAACUACUGGAAACGGUAGCUAAUACCGCAUAAUGUCCACGGACCAAAGCGGGGGACCUUCGGGCCUCGCACCAUCAGAUGAACCCAUAUGGGAUUAGCUUGUAGGUGAGGUAACGGCUCACCUAGGCGACGAUCCCUAGCUGGUCUGAGAGGAUGAUCAGCCACACUGGGACUGAGACACGGCCCAGACUCCUACGGGAGGCAGCAGUGGGGAAUAUUGCACAAUAGGCGCAAGCCUGAUGCAGCCAUGCCGCGUGUAUGAAGAAGGCCUUAGGGUUGUAAAGUACUUUCGGUGAUGAGGAAGGUACUUGGUCUAAUAGGCCAAGUAAUUGACGUUACCCGCAGAAGAAGCACCGGCUAACUCCGUGCCAGCAGCCGCGGUAAUUC
rnacentral:rRNA from 1 species